rnacentral:tRNA from 1 species
GGUGGCUCAGUGGUAGAGUGCUUGCCUUGUAUGCCUGAGACCCUGGGUUCGAUUCCUCAGCACCA